GGGCCGGGGCAGGGCGGUGAGAGACUGCUCGGACCCUGCGGGCGGGCCCUGGCAACUCGCUUCCUCCCCAAAGUUUCCUCCCAGUAGGGACCUGCGCGGGGCCGGGAUUAUGGGACAGGCCUCCGGGGUGGGCGGGGCCGCAGGGCCGCGCGUGCGCAGCUCGCCUCCGGCCGCGAGGCGGGGUUUGUAAGGGUACUCCUGCGGCGGCAGCUUGGUGCGACCAAGCCGGCGGUUUUCGGCUUUAUUGUCCCUCGAGGGGUCCCAAGCCACUCCUUAUGUAGCUGGUGUGGUAAACGUACAAACGUGGACAGUGAAGGCCUUUCUAGUGAGGGCGAAUGGAAACUGGACGACGCCAGAUGGAUGAACUGGAGCAAGGCCUGCUGAUGCAGCCUUGGGCAUGGCUGCAGCUUGCUGAGAACUCCCUCUUGGUCAAGGCUUAUAUCACCAAGCAGGGCUAUGCCUUGCUGGUUUCGGAUCUUCAACAAGUGUGGCAUGAGCAGGUGGACACUAGUGUGAUCAGCCAGCGAGCCAAGGAGCUGAACAAGCGCCUGACUGCUCCUCCUGCGGCUUUUCUUUCUCAUUUGAAUGACCUGCUUUGCCCAUUGUUGAAGGACACUGCUGGCCCUGGCAAAGCUACAUUCUCCUGUGAUCGUGUGGCAGAGGCAUUGAUACUACGGGUGCGGAGUGAGCUCUCUGGCCUCCCAUUCUAUUGGAAUUUCCACUGUAUCCUAGCUAGCCCUUUGCUGGUCUCCCAGCAUUUGAUUCGUCCUCUGAUGGGCAUGAGCCUGGCAUUGCAGUGCCAAGUGAGGGACCUAGCGAUGCUGCUUCGUAAGAAAGAUCUAGAGCUCCAGGACUACCAGGAGAGUGGGGCUACGCUGAGCCGAGAUCGGUUGAAGACAGAGCCAUUUGAAGAGAAUUCCUUCUUGGAACAAUUUAUGGUAGAGAAACUACCAGAGGCAUGCAGUGUUGGUGAUGGAAGACCCUUUGUCACAAAUCUACAGAGUCUGUAUAUGGCAGUCACCAGACAAGAGAUCCAAGUGGGACAGAAGCUUCAAGGCACUGGAGAUCCCCAGACCUCAAGCAGUGCUUCCUCACAAGGAACUGAUAGCCAGCUUCUGAACCAGCCAGAAGAGCUGAUCUCCUCAGUACCAUCCCUCUCAGUGCCUGAGAAAGAGCCCACAGUUACUUCAGGCCCUGUGCAGAGACCUCAGCUGUUGAAGGUCAAGAGGAAGAAGCUAAGCGGGCUCUUCAUUUAACCUGUCGCUGGCUCAACUGCUGAGGAUGGACUUGGAGAGUAGUUUCCUCGUGUCACCUUGCAAGGAGCUCCCAUGGCAACAGCAUCUCUGACACAGAGUUAUACAGUCAGGGACUCCACUGGUGUGAAUGGAGCAACCGCAGAGGACAUUUGAUGUUUCCCACCUGGGGUGCUAUGUGAUGAUUCAGGGACUGGCAUGGCUUCUGUGAGUCAUUCAUCAAAGCCAUUUUAAAGCAGGGACUGCUUGGUGGGAGCUGAGCUUCCCACUAGAAAGAUAUCUGGAAAAUACCUCCUUGGACUAAGAACCUAAGAGAUGUGUAUGUAUGCUUCUGGGUGGGAGUCUCAAAACUACCUUAAUGGCACUCAUUAAAUGGAAUUGAAGCAGAUAUGAAACUGAUAUCAAAAUAAUUUAAAGAUGAUGGAAAACGUUUCAGCAGUUAAGAAACUUGGGUAACUAGUGGGAAGAAUUCAAUGUGAAGAAAGAUUCCCCAUGGAAUCUCUAAAGAAUGGGCUAUAUUCCUGACCAGGAAAGAGGGUGUAAGAAACCAGUUUGGUUAUGCUGUACAGAGACUUGAGCUGCAAAAUGGGAACGUCCAACAGGAACAUUCCAGAUCACUGCAAAGGAAUUCAAAGGAAUGGCAUGAGUUUGUUGGAAAUGUGUUGGGAAUGAGAUAGAAAAACCCACAUUCAACAAGAAACAGGGAUACUUAGACAUGUAUUAACUCAUAUGUAUAUCGAAUUCUUACUCACUAGCGUUCCCACCAGUGGGACAUUGUGUUGCUUGCUGUAUUAUGGCCACAAAGACAUAUCUUCUGUUCUCAAGAAGUCUACAAUCCAAAGAUGAUAUUUAAAGCAUAUAUUUUUUUUCCCCAAAGUUUUUCAAGUGUGUGAAGUAGAAAGUGAGAGCCAUGAGUAUGUAUGUAAUUUUUUAAAAAUUUGAAAGAAUCCUGUGGAUAAAUUUUGUUUUGUUACCUGCCUUUACUUAACUGUAUUGUGUCUGUAUUUACAUGUCAAUACAGAAAUCUCUUGAAAGAAUAAGUUUUCAGGCUUCAUGUGUAGCACAGUGGUUAAGAAUCCGCCUACCAAUGCAGGGGACAUGUGUUCAAUCCCCACUCCAGGAAGAUCCCACAUGCCGUGUAGCAACUAAUCCCAUGCACCGCAACUGUUGAGUCUGCGCUCUAGAGCACGUGAGCCACAACUGUUGAGCCUGUGUGCCACAACUACUGAAGCCGACGCAUCUAAAGCCUGUGCUCCACAACAAGAGAAGCCACGGCAAUGAGGAGCCUGCGCACCACAACGAAGAGUAGCCCCCACUUGCCGCAACUAGAGAAAGACCAGAAAGACCACGCACAGCAAUGAA